rnacentral:rRNA from 1 species
UACAGAGGUCCCAAGCGUUGUUCGGAUUCACUGGGCGUAAAGGGUGCGUAGGUGGCCAGGUAAGUUCGGUGUGAAAGCUCGGAGCUUAACUCCGAAAUGUCAUUGAAUACUAUCUGGCUGGAGGGUCGGAGGGGAGACUGGAAUUCUCGGUGUAGCGGUGAAAUGCGUAGAUAUCGAGAGGAACACCUGCGGCGAAGGCGGGUUGCUGGGCUGACACUGACGCUGAGGCGCGAAAGCUAGGGGAGCGAACGGG